CAUUAUGAAGCUAUAAUAGCGUUAACCUUUUAAGUUAAAGACUAGGAUAUUAAACAUCCUCAUAAUGA
rnacentral:tRNA from 1 species